rnacentral:rRNA from 1 species
UACGUAGGGGGCGAGCGUUAUCCGGAUUUACUGGGCGUAAAGGGUACGCAGGCGGCCAUGUAAGUCAGAUGUGAAAGGUCACGGCUCAACCGUGGUAAGCAUUUGAAACUGUGUGGCUUGAGUUAAGGAGAGGAAAGUGGAAUUCCUGGUGUAGCGGUGAAAUGCGUAGAUAUCAGGAGGAAUACCAGUGGCGAAGGCGACUUUCUGGACUUAAACUGACGCUGAGGUACGAAAGCGUGGGGAGCAAACAGGAUUAGAUACCCUGGUAGUCCACGCCGUAAACGAUGAGUGCUAGGUGUCGGAGGGAGACUUUCGGUGCCGCAGUUAACACAUUAAGCACUCCGCCUGGGGAGUACGACCGCAAGGUUGAA